UACGUAGGUGGCAAGCGUUGUCCGGAUUUAUUGGGUUUAAAGGGUGCGUAGGCGGCCCUGUAAGUCAGUGCUGAAAUCCCCCGGCUUAACCGGGGUGGUGGCAUUGAUACUGCAGGGCUUGAGUACAGAUGAGGUAGGCGGAAUUGACGGUGUAGCGGUGAAAUGCAUAGAUAUCGUCAAGAACACCGAUAGCGAAGGCAGCUUACUAGACUGUAACUGACGCUGAUGCACGAAAGUGUGGGGAUCAAACAGG
rnacentral:rRNA from 1 species